UUCGGCUGGGCACUCUGCGGAGACUGCCGGUGACAAACCGGAGGAAGGUGGGGAUGACGUCAAGUCNUCAUGGCCUUUAUGUCUGGGGCUACACACGUGCUACAAUGGCCGGUACAAAGGGUCGCNAUCCCGCGAGGGUGAGCUAAUCCCACAAAGCCGGUCUCAGUUCGGAUUGCAGGCUGCAACUCGACUGCAUGAAGNUGGAAUCGCUAGUAAUCGCGGAUCAGAAUGCNGCGGUGAAUACGUUCCCGGGCCUUGNACACA
rnacentral:rRNA from 1 species